UACAGAGGGGGCAAGCGUUGUUCGGAAUUACUGGGCGUAAAGGGCGCGUAGGCGGCCUGCUAAGUCGAACGUGAAAUCCCUGGGCUCAACCCAGGAACUGCGUCCGAUACUGGUUGGCUUGAAUCCGGGAGAGGGAUGCGGAAUUCCGAGUGUAGAGGUGAAAUUCGUAGAUAUUCGGAAGAACACCAGUGGCGAAGGCGACUUACUGGACGACUGUUGACGCUGAGGUGCGAAAGCGUGGGGAGCAAACAGG
rnacentral:rRNA from 1 species